ensembl:lncRNA
CGUUGGACGGAGAAGAGCAAACUCUGAGCUCGCCCAUCCCUUUGGGACCCUGCUGGGAUUUCUGCACGUGGGUGAUCCGAGCAGCAGAAUGGGUGGGUUGGAUCCAACUCUACUUUGAUCAGUGCUCCAAACAGAGAACAGCCCAUAGCACAGCUUUCAAAACCAGGGCAAAGCAGCCCGAGGUGGUUGGAAACUCAUUGGUGAGGCCACGGCUCGGGCUGAAGUCAUGCUGGUGCCUGCAGCUGAGCUCUGGAUGCAGAUCUGAGCCACUCCACCAGCAGAAAGCGGUCGGGUUUUCAGAUCUGCAAACAGAAAUGGUGAUUAGAGCUGAGCCCGUGCUCGGUGGAGUGCUCUGCUCGUAGAUGAUCAAUGAAGACUGAUGGAAAUUCCCAUUCAUCAGCCUCAAGGUGUUGUGCUGAGCACUGGCAGCUCAGGACCUGUUUCUGGGGGCAGCAGAAUCCACAUCAUCAGCACCGGUUGCACCGCGGCGAGAUGUCGAUGCCGUGCAGCAUCACAGAGGUGACAACGCGACAGCAGCACUGGGAUUUCUGUGUGAGGAAUUGUGGUGAUUGUUCAUUUCUGCGCCGCGCUGAACACGUCCUCAGAGGUUGAGAUGAUAAGUCUAAACCCAUUUAUAUUGUCUAAACUACUUUUUUUGGGGGCUGGGGAAUUGGGUAUUCUCUUUUUUUUUCCAACCACGGAGUUUCAAUCAUCUCAAAUUGCUAAACAGGCUCUUUUUUUUUUUUUUUAAUUAAUUUUAAUUUUAUUUAAUGAAGUGCCCAGGAAGGGAGAGUUCGAAGAUCAUCUGGAACACAAAGGGUUCACACUGUGUAGGCAAAAAGGCUCAUGGUGGCCUACAGCUACACCAUGGCGGUCUAUGGCCAACUCAUGGUGGCCCAUGGCCAACUCAUGGCCUACAGCCAACUCAUGGCACAGAGAUGCGUCAGGGGAGGGUCAGGUGGGUAUUAAGGAAAGGUUCUGCAGCAGAGGAUGGUGGGCACGGAACGGCUUCCCAGGGCAGCAGGCAUAGCCCAGAGCUGCUGGAGUGCUGGGACACCGCUCUAAGACCCUGGGUUUGGAUUUUGGGUGUUGGGUGGGGACAGGGGAUGGACUUGAUUCCAUCCAACUCGGGAUGUUCCAUGGUUAUGAAUCUUGCUUACAUGCCCCAGGGCAUUUCAUAGAGCUCACAGCAGCACAUGACGAUGAUGCAGAUGCUGCCCAAGUGGGGAUAACGGAUCCCACUGUGCUCACCGAGCUCAGAGAGCUGCUCUCCUCAGAAUAAACCUCUCGUGGAGGAGAACCAGGAACACGAACACUUCAGGAACCACUUCGGUUGCUAAGGGACAUUCAUGCAGGAAAACCUGCUGCAGGAGGGAAGCACUGGGCUCUCUGCCCCCAUCUCCCCCAUGCAGCUCACCCUUGUGUCACCCAUGGGGCAGGAUUUACCCUGCCUUUCUGCCCACAAAGGCUGCCCCAAGCAAUAGGGCAGCAUCCAAGGGUGCAGUUCAGCCUGCACCGUGCGUGGUGCAGCCUGCAGAGUCCCUCACAACUCAUUUUCAAUUAAAAAUGCUUUGUGCCUGCUGGACCUGGCAACACUUCAACCCCACAGUGCCCACGAGGUGAAUCCUGCUUUGAGACCCACAGCAAAUUGGGGUGUUGGAAUGGUGACUCCAAAAGGGACUUCUCUGUUGGUCAUCCCAUAUUCAAGGACCGAAGGGCACCCAUGGGCGCCCAACUCUGCCACAUCACUGGGGAAUAGACCCAGUGAAGAGAGCCUGGAUGGAGUCACAGGGAUCCCUCCACCCCUCCACACGUCCCAUGGGGGUUUCCCAGCAAACGCCUCCUCCUGCCGCAUCCGCUGAUGGGAAUCUGCAGCGGUGUGAAGUGGGGCGAGGGCUGAUGGCAGCGCGGAUCUGAACCUCGCACCUUCUGUCCAUCUGACGCCUGGCCCCGUGCCGCCAUCCAGAAGGAAAACUGCUGGAACUGCCCAGGGCUGAGAGCAGAGCGGGGUCCCCGUGUCACCGCGGCGGCCGCGAAUCGGUGCCAUCUGCUGCAACGCGGCCGCGGGGCCACGAGCUCCGUCAGCUGAGAUUUUGAGCACAUACUGCCAAAUUAGUUACAGCAAUGUAAUCACAUCCAUCCACCAGAGAGACCACGAGCAGCUGACAGCGCGAAGCAGAGGUGUGCAGGAAUGCAGAUGGACUGGGACGCGGCCCCGACGCCGCUCAGCAUUAAUUGUUGGGAGAAGUCCCCGUUGGAGGCUCUCAUUGGGUUGGAGAAGUUCAUCUUCAGCCAUUGCCACUCAAGGAGGAGAGAGCGUUCCAUUAUCCCCAUUAUCAGGAAGCAUCUUCCUGCUGCUUUUUAAAUGCAGAGCAGCAGUACCUCUCACAAUGCCUGGCUUGCUCCGCCGGGAUCACCAAAUUGACUGCUUCCGUGUAGGAGUGAGGCUGUGCCACAGCUCGUGUGCCUAUUAUUCCUAGUAGAAAUAAAUAAUAAUAAAGCAGUGAUCUCUCUCCAUUCCUCCAGACAGAUGCUGCUCCGCAGAGCUGUCAGCUUGUCACUCAGCAGUGGUUUCCAAAGGCAACCAAGUCAAAGUGGUCCCAGGCAGCGCCUGAUGGGUUUUUGAUACCAGGCUGAGCUCCCAGGCCAGAGGCAGAGAUGCUCCUUGUGGAAACGUCCAUUUUUCAUAGUAUCAUAGAACCACUGAGGUUGGAAAUGACCUCUGAGGUCACCAAGUCCAAGCCCAACCCUCUCCACUAUGCCCACUCAUAGAAUCCUUGAAUUAUUAAGGAGAAGACCCACCAAGUCCAACCAUCAUCUCAUCCUCCUAUUCGCACUCAUAGAGCCAUUAAGGCCAGAAAAGAAUUCCAAGAUCCCCAACCCCAACCCAUCCCCACCAUGGCCACUAACCAUGUCCCUCUGAAAAACCCUUUGGCUUAAUUUAUGAGAUACCAGCAACAAGUCAUGCUGGAAAGAAGUCUGCGCACAGACCAUCCGCUGUCCUUGUUCCUGUGUGACCAUCAUGGAGCCCUCCAUGCUCUUCCUCCCACUGUGUCACAAGAACAGGAGCGUGGGGAGGGGUACGCAGUGCCCCGUGCUUGUGGGUGUGUCGGUGUAAUGCACUGCAGCUUCUAAGGAGCAGCCAAUCUCAAUAAAAGAAAAGAGUCCAAAUGCUCCCCUGGUGUCUGUUUGCAGUGCGCUUAUGGGGCCCGAGGGAAAGCAGGGAGGGAGCAGAAGAGCGCUGUCUGCAUCCUAUGGCCAGGAGCUAUUAGGGGAUGAGGCAACACUUAUCACAUUAGAGAACAACAGCACAGAGCAUGGGGCACACUGUGCUCCCAGGCUCACACACACACACACACACACACACACACACAUACACACACGGAUGCUUUAUAGGGCAGCAGAAUCAGCAUUCACUUUACCACUGACCUGGAUUGUGAGCAUGAUGGAACUCCGACGCUGCUCUGAGCUCAUGGCAACCAACGCAUGCCUGGGGCAAUGCUGCUCACAUCACCCCACUGAGCGGUGUGAAUGGGGUCAGACGUCGGGUGGUGGAGUUCCUGUGCUCAGCCAAAGUCCUUUGGAAAGCAAAAUGGGAACAGAGCAAAGAGGCAGCGUCCAGAGGGCUGACCCAGAGAUCCCAUGCGGUGGAGUCAGGCUGUUCCAGUCAGGAUGGGGAUUAAUUGACGAACCGGAGAUGACGACCUUUGUUGGGAUGAGACUGCAUCUCUCUGUUAUUCCCUGUUUUUUUUUGCUUCAAGUCCUCUCUGUGCGCGGUUUGCUUCCCUCCAACCCGAGAUGGAUGGAGCGCGGAUUUAAUGAGGUCGUGUUUUCCCACCAGUUCCAUUUGCAGCCAUUUAAUGUUCAGCUCAGAGCAGGAGAUUGAGUUAAAGGCUAUUUAAAAGUCUAUGAUGCAGACAAGCAUUCUGCCCAGUCCUUGUUCCUUUACAUAUUUGUUAAUGAGCCUCUCCAGGGUAAAGGUGAGGUUUAUGGUUCGCUUCUUGGAGGAGAAGCCAAUUUCAUCAUUCUGGGUUAUGCUGCUCUGAUACUGAGAUGCCGCUCCUCACACACAGAGCGUGUGCAUAUUCUGCACAGGGGUAAAAACAAAAAAUCCUGGCAAAUGUGGUGUUCUUCAGAGGGUGUUGUGCUUGAUGGAGACAUUGAGGGUGGGAUGAGCAUCGCUGAAUGAGGACAGUUCUUCCCCAUCCUGGUUGCUGCAUGGGGGGGACACCCAGAGCCAGAAUGGAAAUGUCUGCUUGGUGUCUUGCACAGUUCCCAGCUAAGUGGGGACACCAGGGGCUGUCCCGGUAGCUGCACAUUGGUAAUCUCCCACCCAGGAGACAGGGCCUGGAGGAGUUCACUUCCUGCACGUGCACCUGAACCCCUCCGUGGUCCCCCAA